rnacentral:misc_RNA from 1 species
CCUGUGCGUGAGGUAUGUAUGG